CCAGCUAAGGGAUGUUCAGAUUACCAGACUUUGUGAUGAAGAGAAUGUGCAGCUGACUGCAUAUGCUAUUCCAGAAAAAUAAACACCCCUCUUAAAUAUCUAGCCCUCUUUCCAUCUCUGAAGGAUUUCUGCCGGGUGAUGUAAGCAUCUGAGGGGAGAGCUUGGAGCCUGUGGGGCUGCCACCCUGGUGCUUUGGCGGGGUGGAACAGCACAGCCUGCAAACUCCAGGGCAUCUACACGCUCUUGUGUGCUCUCGGCUGUCUAUAACUGGCUUUUGUCCUGAGGCUCCAGCUGUGGGGUAGUCCUUCAGCACAGAAGUGCCUCCCCUGGCACAGCAGGGGGCUGAGUGCCUGGCAGAGCAGGGGCUGGCUGCGAGGGCACCCACUGCCUGGGUUUUAGCUGAGCUUUCACUUCGAGGAGCUUUUUGGACUCACUGUAAAGUAAAGCAGCCUUUACUCAGAGAGACUUCUCUGGCACGGAGGAAGCGCUUGGACUGGGAGACUGCCAGAUCUGCAAGUCUUGCUGUUAAUAGACAUGUUUUGAAGCAAGCAUUGAUUUGUAAAGUAUUAUGUAAAGUGAUAGGUCUCUUUCCUGAAGAGUGGCUGAAGCUUCAGAACUAAGCCUUUUAUGUAUUUCUUUUUCCUUUGCUGUUACUGUGUUAAAGUCUCCCGCAUGAAUACUUUUGACUAUGUUGUGAGAAUUCAUCUAUGUCUGCUCCUCGUUUCUCCUCUGAAGGCAGUGAUGUGAAAGUUCAGGUAGAUAGCCAGGUGUGCUUACCCAACUUCAGGUUUAAGAGUUUCCAAAAUAUACCCGGAUUGCUGGCUUUGGACUCCAGCCCAUAGACACAUGCAAUUGUGAUGCAACAUGUCUGAUUCCCUGCAUUGUUACCUCCCUUUUCAGUGCUUUGCUUAUACUGCAGUAAGAUCUAAAUGGGCUUCACUAUGUCACGAGUCAUAUGCGAGCACACAUGCAGGGACUUGUCUGAUUACUUAAUCCAGACCUCAUCCUACGCUCGCUUACUGCCAAGGCUAACAGGCAAGCAGGAGUUUUCUGGCAGGGCUCAGGCUCACCUGUGCAGCAGCUGGAAGGCAAGCGCUGUGGCUCUGCUGCACCCCUGGAGCUGUUACGGCGUGGGACUUGCAGGCGUCCUUAUGCUGGAGUCACUGAACCUGCUGCUUGCAAGCCUUGACUUAAAAUGGUAGGACAUGCCAUACCUUUGAAUGUUAUCUCUGAGGUUCAGCACCAUACACUGCUCCUCUG